UACGUAGGGUGCAAGCGUUGUCCGGAAUUAUUGGGCGUAAAGGGCUCGUAGGCGGUUUGUCGCGUCGGGGAGUGAAAACACACAGCUUAACUGUGUGCUUGCUUCCGAUACGGGCAGACUAGAGGUAUGCAGGGGAGAACGGAAUUCCUGGUGUAGCGGUGAAAUGCGCAGAUAUCAGGAAGAACACCUAUGGCGAAGGCAGCUCUCUGGGACGGUACUGACGCUGAGACGCGAAAGCGUGGGGAGCGAACAGG
rnacentral:rRNA from 1 species